rnacentral:tRNA from 2 species
GUCUCUGUGGCUCAGUCGGUAGAGCGUUGGUCUCAUAGAACUCUCUAUGACUCUGUCUUCAGGCAUGGAUAUCCAAAGGUCGCAAGUUCGAGCCUUGCCAGGGACA